rnacentral:rRNA from 1 species
GACGAACGCUGGCGGCGUGCCUAAUACAUGCAAGUCGAACGGUCUUUUCUAUGGAAGCUUGCUUCCACUGAGAAGAUAGUGGCGAACGGGUGAGUAACACGUGGGUAACCUGCCCAUAAGAGGGGGAUAACAUCCGGAAACGGGUGCUAAUACCGCAUAGGUUUCUUGGUCGCAUGAUCGAGAAAGGUAAGACGGCCUUUGUGCUGUCGCUUAUGGAUGGACCCGCGGCGUAUUAGUUAGUUGGUGAGGUAACGGCUCACCAAGACGAUGAUACGUAGUCGACCUGAGAGGGUGAUCGGCCACAUUGGGACUGAGACACGGCCCAAACUCCUACGGGAGGCAGCAGUAGGGAAUCUUCCGCAAUGGACGAAAGUCUGACGGAGCAACGCCGCGUGAGUGAAGAAGGUUUUCGGAUCGUAAAACUCUGUUGUCAGAGAAGAACAAGUCGGAGAGUAACUGCUCCGGCCUUGACGGUAUCUGACCAGAAAGCCACGGCUAACUACGUGCCAGCCGCCGCAGUAAAAC